GGCUCAGAUUGAACGCUGGCGGCAUGCUUUACACAUGCAAGUCGAACGGUAACAGGUCUUUCGGGAUGCUGACGAGUGGCGAACGGGUGAGUAAUGUAUCGGAACGUGCCCAGUAGUGGGGGAUAACUACUCGAAAGAGUGGCUAAUACCGCAUGAGAUCUCUGGAUGAAAGCGGGGGACCGUAAGGCCUCGCGCUACUGGAGCGGCCGAUAUCAGAUUAGGUUGUUGGUGGGGUAAAGGCUCACCAAGCCGACGAUCUGUAGCUGGUCUGAGAGGACGACCAGCCACACUGGGACUGAGACACGGCCCAGACUCCUACGGGAGGCAGCAGUGGGGAAUUUUGGACAAUGGGCGCAAGCCUGAUCCAGCAAUGCCGCGUGCAGGACGAAGGCCUUCGGGUUGUAAACUGCUUUGUACGGAACGAAAAGCCUUCUUCUAAUACAGGAGGGUCAUGACGGUACCGUAAGAAUAAGCACCGGCUAACUACGUG
rnacentral:rRNA from 1 species